rnacentral:rRNA from 1 species
CCUACGGGUGGCUGCAGUGAGGAAUAUUGGUCAAUGGGCGGGAGCCUGAACCAGCCAAGCCGCGUGAAGGAAGAAGGCGCCAUGCGUCGUAAACUUCUUUUGUCGGGGAACAAAGGGCGCCACGCGUGGCGUUGUGAGUGUACCCGAAGAAAAAGCAUCGGCUAACUCCGUGCCAGCAGCCGCGGUAAUACGGAGGAUGCGAGCGUUAUCCGGAUUUAUUGGGUUUAAAGGGUGCGUAGGCGGUCCGGAAAGUCAGCGGUAAAAGCCCGGGGCUAAACCCCGGCGAGCCGUUGAAACUGUCGGACGAGAGAAGACGUGAGGUAGGCGGAAGGCGCGGUGUAGCGGUGAAAUGCAUAGAGAUCGCGCAGAACUCCGAUUGCGAAGGCAGCGUACCGGCGCCGGACUGACGCUGAGGCACGAAAGCGUGGGUAUCGAACAGGAUUAGAUACCCUGGUAGUC